UACAGAGGUCUCAAGCGUUGUUCGGAUUCAUUGGGCGUAAAGGGUGCGUAGGUGGCGCCGUAAGUCGGGUGUGAAAUUUCGGAGCUUAACUCCGAAACUGCAUUCGAUACUACCGUGCUUGAGGACUGGAGAGGAGACUGGAAUUUACGGUGUAGCGGUGAAAUGCGUAGAUAUCGUAAGGAAGACCAGUGGCGAAGGCGGGUCUCGUGGACAGUUCCUGACGCUGAGGCACGGAAGGCCAGGGGAGCAAACGGG
rnacentral:rRNA from 1 species